rnacentral:rRNA from 1 species
AUUGAACGCUGGCGGCAGGCUUAACACAUGCAAGUCGAGCGGAGAGAGGUAGCUUGCUACUGAUCUUAGCGGCGGACGGGUGAGUAAUGCUUAGGAAUCUGCCUAUUAGUGGGGGACAACAUUUCGAAAGGAAUGCUAAUACCGCAUACGUCCUACGGGAGAAAGCAGGGGAUCUUCGGACCUUGCGCUAAUAGACGAGCCUAAGUCGGAUUAGCUAGUUGGUGGGGUAAAGGCCUACCAAGGCGACGAUCUGUAGCGGGUCUGAGAGGAUGAUCCGCCACACUGGGACUGAGACACGGCCCAGACUCCUACGGGAGGCAGCAGUGGGGAAUAUUGGACAAUGGGCGCAAGCCUGAUCCAGCCAUGCCGCGUGUGUGAAGAAGGCCUUAUGGUUGUAAAGCACUUUAAGCGAGGAGGGGGCUACUUUAGAUAAUACCUAGAGAUAGUGGACGUUACUCGCAGAAUAAGCACCGGCUAACUCUGUGCCAGCCGCCGCAGUAAAAC